rnacentral:tRNA from 1 species
CGUGACGACGGACGGGCGGGAUGGGAUCGGCGGCUCGGGGCGUCGCCGGCGGACGCGGCGCAUCGUGGCCGGCGGUACGGUGCUGGCCGUCGUGC